rnacentral:lncRNA from 1 species
GUUCCCGCAGGCACCCAGGCCUCCGCCAGCAGGAAUUUUUGGUUAGGUUUUGUGAGAGGAAUUCAAAGGCCCAUUUGUGUGACUAUCUGGCAAACAUCCCAGGCCCCAUGGAAGCCUUUUAAAUUGGGGACGAAGUGGAAAAUUAAGCCCUGAAGGUAACUACCUUCCUGCAGAGAGCGAGACCAAUCGAUUAGAGCCGUGCCAUCUCCCCGCUGGGAGCUGGAUGCGGAGGAGGCUGGAACAGCCAGCAGAGCCUCCUGGACUUCUUCUGUUUUCCUCUGAGCCCACGGUGGCCCCCUGCCCCGGUAUUGCCUCUAAUCUGGAGGGUGUGCUCUCUGGACCUCAUCCCAGGGGGCCGAGGUUUCUCCCAGGGCUGGAAGGCUUUUCUCUGUGUGUGGCGGCUGGAAAUAUUUCAACUGAGGGCAGGAGGAGGCUCUGCCAAGACCGUCUGUCCUUCCUCACUGUCCUCCGAGGCUGCACCGAUGGACAGCGUCUUCCUGCAGCGAAAUCUGUCCCUCGGGGCCCUCAGGCUUCUGAGGAAAGACGAGGGGAGGCCACAUCUGUGGGUAUUUGCUGUGGCACCUUCCUGGGGCUGCUCUGUGAGGCUGGAUUGUAUUCCGUGGUGUUUUCCUUGGCUCAUCACCAAACACAGCUUGCUUGGAGGUGGAAGAAACGAAUUUGUUAACAAUUCUCAGGCAGAACAGGCCAGAGGGAGGUAGGGGGCAGAAUUAGAGGCAGAACUACGGCCAAGACUGCAGGCCGAGUGACAUGCCCUGGUCCAGCUGCUGCCUUGGCCUCUGGCCUCAAGCCAAACCUCACCCUCAUGCCCUUCAAGGCCCCUUCCACCAGGAAGCCCUCCUGCUGUUCCACCCCAUUACCAGCACUCUUCUGCCUCCAGGACGAGGCCUCCACAGCAACUGGCUGGGGCUCGAUUUGUCAUUUUGAUUUGGUUUUGUUCUCAAGGUGGAGCAGCCCUGUUUCAAAGUCCCCUGCUCCCGAGUUACAGGGGUGAAUGUUUCCUAAGCCCAGGGCACCGUUGUUUGUCUGUUUUGUUUUUAAUAGACUUUACUUUUUUAGAGUAAUUUUAGGUGCACAGCAAAAUUGAGGAGAAGGUACAGAGGCUUCCUGUAUACCCUCUGCCCCCCAACAUGAACAGCCUCCCCCACUAUCCACAUCCCAAACCACAGUGGUCCAUUUGUUCCAACUGAUGAACCU